rnacentral:rRNA from 1 species
UACGAAGGUCCCAAGCGUUAUCCGGAUUUAUUGGGUUUAAAGGGUGCGUAGGCGGGUUAUUAAGUCAGUGGUGAAAGCCUACAGCUUAACUGUAGAACUGCCAUUGAUACUGAUGAUCUUGAGUAUGAUUGAGGUGGGCGGAAUGUGUCAUGUAGCGGUGAAAUGCUUAGAUAUGACACAGAACACCGAUUGCGAAGUCAGCUCACUAAGUCAUAACUGACGCUGAUGCACGAAAGCGUGGGGAGCAAACAGG